rnacentral:rRNA from 1 species
UAGGGAAUAUUGGUCAAUGGAUGGAAGUCUGAACCAGCCAUGCCGCGUGCAGGAAGAAGGCCUUCUGGGUUGUAAACUGCUUUUGCCAGGGGAUAAAAAGACCGUGCGCGGUUAAUUGAAGGUACCUGGUGAAUAAGCCACGGCUAACUACGUGCCAGCAGCCGCGGUAAUACGUAGGUGGCAAGCGUUGUCCGGAUUUAUUGGGUUUAAAGGGUGCGUAGGCGGCCCCGUAAGUCAGUGGUGAAAUAUC